rnacentral:rRNA from 1 species
UACAGAGGGGGCAAGCGUUGUUCGGAAUUACUGGGCGUAAAGGGCGCGUAGGCGGCCUGUUAAGUCAGACGUGAAAUCCCCGGGCUCAACCCGGGAACUGCGUCUGAUACUGGUAGGCUUGAAUCCGGGAGAGGGAUGUGGAAUUCCAGGUGUAGCGGUGAAAUGCGUAGAUAUCGAGAGGAACACCUGCGGCGAAGGCGGGUUGCUGGGCUGACACUGACGCUGACAGCGCGAAAGCUAGGGGAGCGAACGGG